rnacentral:ncRNA from 1 species
GCGGUACCGGUUCACGCCACUUGUUCGAACUAGGCGACCCGGCGACC